GACGAACGCUGGCGGCGUGCUUAACACAUGCAAGUCGAACGGUAAGGCCCUUCGGGGUACACGAGUGGCGAACGGGUGAGUAACACGUGGGUGAUCUGCCCUGCACCUCGGGAUAAGCCUGGGAAACUGGGUCUAAUACCGGAUAGGACCCUGGGAUGCAUGUCCUGGGGUGGAAAGCUUUUGCGGUGUGGGACGGGCCCGCGGCCUAUCAGCUUGUUGGUGGGGUGAUGGCCUACCAAGGCGACGACGGGUAGCCGGCCUGAGAGGGUGACCGGCCACACUGGGACUGAGAUACGGCCCAGACUCCUACGGGAGGCAGCAGUGGGGAAUAUUGCACAAUGGGCGCAAGCCUGAUGCAGCGACGCCGCGUGAGGGAUGACGGCCUUCGGGUUGUAAACCUCUUUCAGCACCGACGAAGCGCAAGUGACGGUAGGUGCAGAAGAAGGACCGGCCAACUACGUGCCAGCAGCCGCGGUAA
rnacentral:rRNA from 1 species